ACUCCCUACGGGGAGGCAGCAGUGGGGAAUAUUGCACAAUGGGCGCAAGCCCUGAUGCAGCCAUGCCGCGUGUGUGAAGAAGGCCUUCGGGUUGUAAAGCACUUUCAGUCGUGAGGAAGGUAGUGUAGUUAAUAGCUGCAUUAUUUGAGCGUUAGCGACAGAAGAAGCACCGGCUAACUCCGUGCCAGCAGCCGCGGUAAUACGGAGGGUGCGAGCGUUAAUCGGAAUUACUGGGCGUAAAGCGCAUGCAGGUGGUUUGUUAAGUCAGAUGUGAAAGCCCGGGGCUCAACCUCGGAAUUGCAUUUGAAACUGGCAAGACUAGAGUACUGUAGAGGGGGGUAGAAUUUCAGGU
rnacentral:rRNA from 1 species